UGGGUGGUGCAGCAAUAUUAUUAUCAAAUAAAUCGUCCGAUCGAAAGCGUUCAAAAUACCAACUCAUACACACAGUACGAACACACAAAGGCGCCGAUGACAAGAGCUAUGGAUGUGUGUUCCAAGAAGAAGACGAUAAUAAAAAAAUCGGGGUCGCGCUGUCUAAAGACCUAAUGGCUGUAGCAGGGGAGGCCUUGAAAACGAACAUUACAACUCUAGGGCCAAUCGUUCUACCUAUGUCCGAACAACUAUUAUUUUUCGCGACAUUAGUCGCGAGGAAAGUGUUGAAGAUGAAAAUAAAACCGUAUAUUCCUGAUUUUAAGUUAGCGUUUGAACAUUUUUGUAUACACGCUGGUGGUAGGGCGGUGUUGGAUGAG
rnacentral:misc_RNA from 1 species